CUAUGCGCCUUGCCAGCCCGCUCAGGUGUGCCAGCAGCCGCGGUAAUACAGAGGUCUCAAGCGUUGUUCGGAAUCACUGGGCGUAAAGCGUGCGUAGGCGGUUUCGUAAGUCGUGUGUGAAAGGCGGGGGCUCAACCCCCGGACUGCACAUGAUACUGCGAGACUAGAGUAAUGGAGGGGGAACCGGAAUUCUCGGUGUAGCAGUGAAAUGCGUAGAUAUCGAGAGGAACACUCGUGGCGAAGGCGGGUUCCUGGACAUUAACUGACGCUGAGGCACGAAGGCCAGGGAGCGAAAGGG
rnacentral:rRNA from 1 species